rnacentral:tRNA from 1 species
UCCCUGGUGGUCCAAUGGCUAAGACCCCAUGCCUCCAAUGCAGGGGGCCUGGGUUUGAUCCCUGGUCAGGGAA